AAAAGUGAGAUGUAACAACGAAACUGAACCAACAUGCGAGUCUAAAGGAUUCGGUUCUUGGCAGACGGCUCAGUAACACGCGGAUAAUCUGCCCUUGGGUGGGGGAUAAUCUCGAGAAAUUGAGCAUAAUACCCCAUAGAUGCAGAGUGCUGGAAUGCUUCUGCGUUGAAAACUCCGGUGCCCAAGGAUGAGUCUGCGGCCUAUCAGGUCGUAGUGGGCGUAAAGGACCCACUAGCCUUCAACGGGUACGGGCCUUGAGAGAGGUAGCCCGGAGAUGGACUCUGAGACACGAGUCCAGGCCCUACGGGGCGCAGCAGGCGCGAAAACUUCGCAAUGUGGGAAACCACGACGAGGGGAUUCCAAGUGCUAGUACACUGUAUUAGCUGUUCGCGUGCCUAAAAAGCACGUGAAGUAAGGGCUGGGUAAGACGGGUGCCAGCCGCCGCGGUAAUACCCGCAGCCCGAGUGGUGAUCAUUAUUAUUGAGCCUAAAGCGUCCGUAGCCGGUCUGGUAAAUCCUUGGGUAAAUCAGGCAGCUUAACUGUCUGAAUUCCGGGGUGACUGCCAGACUUGGGACCGGGAGAGGUCAGAGGUACUCCGAGGGUAGGGGUGAAAUCCUGUAAUCCUCGGGGACCACCAGUGGCGAAGGCGUCUGACUAGAACGGAUCCGACGGUAAGGGACGAAGCCCUGGGGCGCAAACGGGAUUAGAUACCCCGGUAGUCCAGGGUGUAAACGCUGCAGGCUUGGUGUCGGGGGUCCUACGUGGGCACUCGGUGCCGGAGAGAAGUUGUUAAGCCUGCCGCUUGGGGAGUACGCUCGCAAGAGUGAAACUUAAAG
rnacentral:rRNA from 1 species